rnacentral:lncRNA from 1 species
CCUGGGCUCAGGUGCACUGCCCCGCAGGACUACAGGGUCAUUUCCAUGACUCAGUUCCUGGUUUGCCUGUCACCCCCCACCUCCCCUUCUGCAAUUGCCUGUCCUUGAGCAAGUUGCUGCCAUCAGUCAGAUGGGUAACGUGGUGCCUGCCUUUGGGGCUGUGAAGGGGAUUGAAUGAGCACAGCUGCCUCUGUCAUUUAGUCGCUUUUUGUUUCAAGUUCCCAGAGUGAGUAGUAAAUACUUCAACCAGUCAGAGUUCUCAAAAAAAGCUCAGU